rnacentral:rRNA from 1 species
CCCUUAGAUGUUCUGGGCCGCACGCGCGCUACACUGACGAUGGCAACGAGUUUUUCCUUCGCCGAAAGGUGUGGGUAAUCUUUUGAAACAUCGUCGUGCUGGGGAUAGAUCAUUGCAAUUUUUGAUCUUGAACGAGGAAUUCCUAGUAAGCGCGAGUCAUCCGCUCGCGUUGAUUACGUCCCUGCCCUUUGUACACACCGCCCGUCGCUACUACCGAUUGAAUGGUUUAGUGAGGACUCCUGAUUGGCGCCGCCGCCCCGGCAACGGAGCAGCGGACUGCCGAAAAGUUGUUCAAACUUGAUCAUUUAGAGGAAGUAAAAGUCGUAACA